UAACACUCACAAUUAACGUUACCACACUGCCCCCAGGGCAAGAGCACGGAGCGUAAGGGAUAGUUCCAUACCCUUUUCCAGAAGUAAAGGCAAGAAAACAUGAGUAUGAUACCAGACCGAACACAAUAAGUGUGUUGUUUUUUUUUUUUGCAGGCAGCUCCAGCUGGAGUAAAAGGAGUUGAUUAGUCACUGAAACAGGUGGCAGAGCUAACCCCUCACACCCCCUUCUCUCUCAUCUCCUGCCAACCCAUAAAAUAGUAUCUGGGGAACCUAGGAUCCAGACAAAGGUUGGGGGUAUUGUUUAAUUAGACAAUGGAAUAAAGCCUAGUGCCAGCUGCUGUCCUAAAACCCUCAUGUGCUGCAUAUCCCUGCUGUAUUAGACAAGGGAGCUGCUCUACACCAGCCUUUGUUACCUUGACACAGCUGAGGCACACGCUCCCACAGCCACCCCACUCACCCUGACAGGUACCACAGGAGAAAGUGAGACUGCACGAACCUGGUGAAGCUGGACUGGGAAGGAGAAUUUUAUGAGCGCCACUGGUGUACUCCAACUGCUGACAGAGGCUGAGUCCAAAGGAGCCAACCCAAGCCAGGCUGAAGCUCCCUCACCUUUUGUUCGUAGAAAAGCACUCAAAACCACACAUGGAAGAUCCCUGGUGAAGAAAAGUGGAGCAUUCAGGAAGUAAUCACGUAUUUGGGAAGAGGGUGAUGUUUCAGCACCUUCACCAUCAUUUGUCAGUGUAAAAUUGCCAGACAUCAGCAGAGGGCUGAAACACCAUUCGGAUGCAAUUAACUCCAGACACAAGCUGAGGUACUCCAGCAGGCCAGUCCGAGGCAUUUCCACAACUCCCUGGCUAGAAUCUUUCACUGCUGACAGGUAAGGGGAAAAAAUCCUAAACCACUUCAAUUAACCUGCAUAAUGUGUGCAUGUAAAUCCACAACACAACUGCACAAAAACAAGUACUGAUUACUUCUUCUAAGUCUAUUCCCUGAAAACAGCCUACAAAUACCAUGUCUUAUAUAACUUACAAUCUGAUAGGAACUGAUCAAAAAUAAGGUAGUAAUUAUAUUUUCUCCCAUUCUGGUGAGCUGAUUAAGAAAAAGUAGUAAAGGCAACUUUCAGCUGCAUUUAUUCACAUUCACUAACAAUGAUGCAAAUAGGAACCUAUUGUCUGUAAAUGGGAUUUUAAAAUAGAAAUAUGUACUUUACCUGCAGCAUUCCUUAAUUGUUGUUUCUUGGGCACGCACUGGGCUCUGCACUGCUAGGUUACACUGCUAGUCACUAGCUAGUUACAGCUAAUUCAAGAACAGCUCAACUCUCCUGCAAUGAAAUGACAACAGCUAAACUUGAAUAAAAUAUCAAGUUGUCCUACUAUAAGCCUUUUAUUUUUUCCUCAGUCAAAAGCACUUUAUUUCAUACUUGAAAGUGCUCAGUCAAUUCCAAAAGUAAUGCUAAGAAUGGUUUUACUAGGUAGUAUUACACCUUUUAAAUAUCUUCGUAAGACUGGAUUUCCAUACCACCUUCCAAAACACAAAUCAGGUCAUCUGGGCACACUGCGCAAGUCCCACAUACACUAACACCCAACAACAGCUGAAGAGAACUUCAAACAGCAUUUAAUCAAAUCUUGUAAUAGGACUCAAAUUCUUAUUGGCUUUUCUCAAAAUUCACGUGACACGCAUUUUCUUCUUGUUUUAUUGCAGAUCCACCUUGCUAGGAAAAGGCUUGGGAUCAGUCAUGAAUCCUGUAAGAAUAUUCAAACAUGGAUUAGUACAAAUAUUGAUUUUAUAACUGAAAGAAAACUGAGUAUCUCAUUUUAACAACUUUGGUAUUUUAUGUUCUAAACUGCAUGGGAUUAUUUCUAUUCCAUUUUAACACAGUGGGCUAAAAUACUUCUAAAUUAAGAAAUGAAAACAAAAAGUAUUAAAAAAAUUAACACAGAAUUAAAGGCACUGCCAUGUGCCUCACGGUUUAAAAACAGGAGAAAAUUUCUUUUGUCUUACUAAAUUCUGCAUCAUAGUGAGAUGCUUCCAUUGAAAGUCAAUUUUACUGAAGUGUUUGGUGCUUUUAGUGUUUCUUAAUUUAUGCAUGGGCACCACAGGUUACGUAUCUCUACAUUUCAGGUAAUUUGUUUCUUGUAAAAAGAAGUCAAAGCAAACAUCAACCUUCUCAAAUCCUCUAAAAUAUAGGAAUUUUCAUUUAAAAAAAUUGUGAAAUGAAAUCCACUGGCAUUAAACAGCUGGAUUGUUCUGAUAAGACAUCAAGCCUCUCAACUAGUUAAGCAUCCAGUACCUAUUCUCCCAUUUUUGUUACUGAAAAUUACUACCAAGGAUGCUAAACCUUAAACAUACACUGGGAAACUUUUAAUGCCAAAGACAUGUUCAUAAGUAUAUCGAGUACGUUCUCGUUUUGUCCCACUCUGUACUUCAUGAGGCUGAGAACUAGACUUAACUAUACCUUGUUAAGUUAAAAUAGAAGUUUAACAAAAAGAAUCACAUCUUGGUCUUCAGUUCAUCCACAGCAAAUUGCCACAUUUUUGUGGAACAUUUAUUACACUAAUUGCUGGACAAGCACUCGUUUUUGUUGUCAUGGAUCACCUUAGUAUUUACAUGUAGUAAGACAAGAGGAAACGAACAUCAAGAAGUGUUUGGUGCAAUACACAGAAACCCCAACCAAAUACAAGAAAUAUAGAGGAUAGUCUCCAAAUUUAAGUCUGCCUGUGGACAGCACUCUGCUUCUUAAGAGUUGUAAGCGUAAAAAAAAUCCAAACGUUACAUGGUAUUACUGCUUUCUAAAAUACACUGACAUUGCACAGCAAAAGCUUUUUCUUGAAAAAAUAUGUAUAUCCUCUGGCUCUUUAUGAUACAAACCUCAAUGGUUAAGGAGGGAAUGGAGGGUUCAUUCAGGGCUGGUAAGUUUCCAAAGUAGUUUUGCAAGACUAUAAUAUAUAUAUAUAUAUAUAUAUAUAUAAAUUGAUAGCUGCAAUCAUUAAUAACUAAGCUUAAAUGUCAUUGUGAUAAAGAUCUUGCUUAGCUCAUAAUGGAAUUUGAAAGCUAAAGAGCUGCUCAUCUCUCCCCAUUUAGCUAUAUGGAGCAAUGAAUUCUAAAUUACGUAAUUAAAAUGGCAAGACUGUAAUUUGUCUGCAUGACCUGUGUGUGGCACUACGUCAACUACCAUACAUGAAUGGAUUGCAAGAUUUUUCUUUCAUAUAAAUAAAAAUCUCAAAAAAAAAAUAAAAGACUAACAGUCAUGUUUAUAUUGUCAUCUUUUUCAAGGUCACUUCACAUAUUUCUAGCAGAACAUAACAGCUGUUUCUGCACCUGCGCUUUAUGAGGCUAUAAUGAUUAAGUCAGUAUGUAAGUGUGGCCAGCAGUACUUACCAGGAAAGCAAUUGCUCAGAUCGUAAGGUAAGGGGAUGCCAAAACAUUUUCAUAGUUGAUCUUACUGUACAAGGCACUAAGUUUUUCUUCUGAUUUUUGUGAGCAAGAUUUACACACAUUUGCAGUUUAAAAUUACUCAUCUAUGACACAGCAGUUAAAACUAUUUACAAAUGAAAACAGUGUUUUAGUGAAACAAGACCUUACCUGUUUGAAAAGGAACACUUGAAAAACUGCUUCUGCACUGAUCUCUACUGGAGUUUCCAUCAGCAUCCAUCCCUGUUACCAGAGUGUUCUCUGGGAGCUGGUAAUUGAAAAUUGCACAUCUAACAACAGCCUAGCUUUCUUUCUACCACUUACAAUUUUAGAACUCAUUCUUAAUGUAAUAUUCACAUUCUUAGGAAUUUCCAGAGCUCUGACAAACCUGCAACACAAAGUCCCACUCUAGCUUUCUAGGUGAAAUAUCAAACUUAGUAUCAUGUCUCUGAUUCUGAGCAUUCUUUGGUCAACAUGGAAGUAGAAAAAACACUUCAAUUAAGGGGAGAAAACAGCUAAGAAAUCUAAUAAACUAAAGAAAAGUUCUAGAUGACUACUUUGUAUUCUACUACCUAUACGGGCUGAAAACUUAUUUGCCUUAACAAGGAAAAGAGCCUCAAAAUAGAGUUUAUUAUCAAUCAUAAUAAUGCUAUGAACACUGUCAAAUUUAAAAUGAAGAAAAAAUAAGCAUAAUCUGUAAACCAAGUACUGAUGUCAGCAAACAGAGCAAAACCACUUUGUGUCACUAGCUCAAGAAGAGAGGCCAGCCUAGGAAACUGAUUUUUUCAGGCAUUUAUACUUCACUACCAGAGAUGCUCAAAACAUCUGAAAAAUACUCUUUGAUAUUUAAAGUGUCAGUGCUCAACUACAAAAAAACCAGUUGUAAAUAUAUAUACUUUAUAUAUAGACACAUGUAGUUGUGUAGUCAGUAAAUGUUUCAAGGAAGGAGGGGUUAGGGAUGUGUGAAGGAUUAGCAGCCCUUCCAA